rnacentral:rRNA from 1 species
UCGACCUCGGAUCAGGUAGGAUUACCCGCUGAACUUAAGCAUAUCAAUAAGCGGAGGACAAGAAACCAACAGGGAUUGCCUCAGUAACUGCGAGUGAAGCGGCAACAGCCCAGAUUUGAAAUCCGGCUCUCUUGCGAGGGUCUGAGUUGUAAUCUGUAGAGGAUGUCGCUGGCCAACAGCUGCUUCGAAGUCCCCUGGAACGGGGCGCCAUAGAGGGUGAGAGCCCCGUACGGUGUAGGCUGGAUGGUCAUGAUGCGACUCCUUCGGCGAGUCGAGUAGUUUGGGAAUGCUGCUCUAAAUGGGAGGUAAAUUCCUUCUAAGGCUAAAUAUCGGCCGGAGACCGAUAGCGCACAAGUAGAGUGAUCGAAAGAUGAAAAGUACUUUGGAAAGAGGGUUAAACAGUACGUGAAAUUGUUGAAAGGGAAGCGCCCGCGACCAGACUUGUACCUGACUGCUCGCCCUGCGCUCGUCGUAGGGUCUCCCAGUCAGGGUUUGCAGGCCAGCAUCGGUUUGUGGUGGGGGAUAAGACCAACGGGAACGUGGCUCGUUUCGCGACGAGUGUUACAGCCCGCUGUAUGGUACCCUGGUGCAGAUCGAGGAACGCGUCUUUGACACGGAUGCUGGCGUAAUGGUCGUUGACGACCCGUCUUGAAACACGGACCAAGGAGUCGAGGUUUUCCGCGAGUGUGUGGGUGGUAGACCCGCCCGCGAAAUGAAAGUGAACGUAGGUGAGAGCUUUUGGGCGCAUCACCGACCGAUCCCAAUGUUUUCGGAGGGAAUCGAGUAUGAGCGGAGGGCCUCGGACCCGAAAGAUGACGAACUAUGCCUGCAUAGAAUGAAGCCAGAGGAAACUCUGGUGGAGGUUCGCAGCGGUUCUGACGUGCAAAUCGAUCGUCAAAUGUGGGCAUAGGGGCGAAAGACUAAUCGA